rnacentral:rRNA from 1 species
UGGGGAAUAUUGCACAAUGGGCGCAAGCCUGAUGCAGCCAUGCCGCGUGUAUGAAGAAGGCCUUCGGGUUGUAAAGUACUUUCAGUCGGGAGGAAGGUGGUAAGGUUAAUAACCUUAUCAAUUGACGUUACCGACAGAAGAAGCACCGGCUAACUCCGUGCCAGCAGCCGCGGUAAUACGGAGGGUGCAAGCGUUAAUCGGAAUUACUGGGCGUAAAGCGCACGCAGGCGGUUGAUUGAGUCAGAUGUGAAAUCCCCGGGCUUAACCCGGGAAUUGCAUCUGAUACUGGUCAGCUAGAGUCUUGUAGAGGGGGGUAGAAUUCCAUGUGUAGCGGUGAAAAGGGUUGGGGUGUGGGGGAAUACCGGUGGCGGAGGCGGCCCCCUGGACAAAGACUGACGCUCCGGUGCGAAAGCGUGGGGAGCAAACAGG